rnacentral:lncRNA from 1 species
CUGUCAGGACAGUGGGUUUCUGGGUGCUGCAAUGAUCAUCACUACUACUAUUUCUUCUGCCCAACAUUAUACAUGGCUCCCACUUAUUGAGCGCCUACUGUGUGCCAGGCACUAUAGUAAGUAUUCCUCCGUGUCAUCUCAAUCGCGACCCUCAGUCACCCCAUGGGGUGGGUGUUCUGUUAUCAUCUGUACUUUCCAGAUGAGCACACAGACUCUGCUGGGGGGAGGUGGUAGAAUCUGCAUUAGUGGAACUGUGCUUCACAGCCUUCCCACCCACUGGGAAGGGCAAGUGGGCCAAUCACAGUGCUCCAUUUCCCUUCCUACGGUGAUUGAUUUGGGCCUGCGCAUGUGAUACAGGUGAAGCCCAUCAGAGCCUCCCUGGGACUUUUGAAGGAGUUAAUGGGAAGAUUGACUGUCCUUCUGAAGUGUCACCUGGCAGACUGUGAACACUGAGUAUGAUUCCUGGGACUGGAGAGGGACCAUGGGAGACAAGGCCCAUUCUUAUCUUUUGGCAGUGCCAGGGAUACUGAGCAGGCUAGAGAAGCAUCCUACUGCUGAGCUACACCCCCAGCCCCAAGGCCUAGUCUCAAAGCUACACAAACAGAACCGAUGGGGGUGGGGAAAAAUAACCCAAUGACAUUAUUAGAAACCCUGGAUCCAGCCAUGCCUGAAAUUGCAAGAUAAAGGAGCCACUGAUUUUUAAAAAUAUACUUUUAAUCUUAGAUGGACACAAUACCUUUAUUUUAUUUAUUUAUUUCUAUGCAGUGCCGAGGAUCGAACCCAGUGCCUCACAUGUGGUAGGCAAGUCUCUACCACUGAGCUACAACCCAAC